UGGGGAAUAUUGCACAAUGGGCGCAAGCCUGAUGCAGCCAUGCCGCGUGUGUGAAGAAGGCCUUCGGGUUGUAAAGCACUUUCAGCGAGGAGGAAGGUGGUGAGCUUAAUACGCUCAUCAAUUGACGUUACUCGCAGAAGAAGCACCGGCUAACUCCGUGCCAGCAGCCGCGGUAAUACGGAGGGUGCAAGCGUUAAUCGGAAUUACUGGGCGUAAAGCGCACGCAGGCGGUUUGUUAAGUCAGAUGUGAAAUCCCCGGGCUCAACCUGGGAACUGCAUUUGAAACUGGCAAGCUAGAGUCUCGUAGAGGGGGGUAGAAUUCCAGGUGUAGCGGUGAAAUGCGUAGAGAUCUGGAGGAAUACCGGUGGCGAAGGCGGCCCCCCUGGACGAAGACUGACGCUCAGGUGCGAAAGCGUGGGGCAGCAAACAGGAUUAGAUACCCUGGUAGUCCACGCUGUAAACGAUGUCGAUUUGGAGGUUGUGCCCUUGAGGCGUGGCUUCCGGAGCUAACGCGUUAAAGUCGACCGCCUGGGGGAG
rnacentral:rRNA from 1 species